UAGGGAAUCUUCGGCAAUGGGGGCAACCCUGACCGAGCAACGCCGCGUGAGUGAAGAAGGUUUUCGGAUCGUAAAGCUCUGUUGUAAGAGAAGAACGUGUGUGAGAGUGGAAAGUUCACACAGUGACGGUAACUUACCAGAAAGGGACGGCUAACUACGUGCCAGCAGCCGCGGUAAUACGUAGGUCCCGAGCGUUGUCCGGAUUUAUUGGGCGUAAAGCGAGCGCAGGCGGUUUAAUAAGUCUGAAGUUAAAGGCAGUGGCUUAACCAUUGUUCGCUUUGGAAACUGUUAGACUUGAGUGCAGAAGGGGAGAGUGGAAUUCCAUGUGUAGCGGUGAAAUGCGUAGAUAUAUGGAGGAACACCGGUGGCGAAAGCGGCUCUCUGGUCUGUAACUGACGCUGAGGCUCGAAAGCGUGGGGAGCGAACAGG
rnacentral:rRNA from 1 species